ACUGUCCAGUGCACAGCACAACCAGCCCUGAAUGAAGCGAGUUUGCAUUAGUAUUGAGAAAAAGAAUAGGAUCCUAUUACACUGGACCCUUUUGCAACAGAGGCAGAUCACUGGUCUGACCACCGACUCUUACAAGAAAAUGGACGGAUCUCAAAAGUGUCUUCCACUGUCCUUAUAGAAGCCUUAAAUUGUUUCCUUUAGAAGUCUUAAAGAGUUCUAAGAACCCUUAGAACCCCGGGGGACAUCAAUAACAGUGAAGGCUUCUAGAGAUGAACACUCAACAGGUCCUGAUAACAUCUCAAGUAUCAACAUCUCAAGUAUUCUGAGAAAGACAAGUAUGUAUUUCAUCUCAAGUAUUCUGAGAAAGACAAGUAUGUAUUUCCGAGCUGUUUCAAAAGAGAACACUACCAGACAGUUUAAAAAAAGGACCUACAAGGACAAGAAAGAAAAAGAAAACUUAAUCUGUUAGAGAGUGGAUGACCCAAAGGGAUUUCGCAACCGCAACCCUUAAUCUAAUGGUUCGAUGACGACACAGACCGUGAGAGAGGUUCUAAGAGCACAGACAGGGAGAGAGGUUCUAAGAGCACAGACUGUGAGAGAGGUUCUAAGAGCACAGACUGUGAGAGAGGUUCUAAGGGUGAAAACAGGAAAACACGGAGCAGGAAAACAACCAAACGUCAGCUUGGUGACAACUAAUAAACUCAGUGCAAUUCACAUACAGAAUCCUCAUUGUCAGAACACUACAUCUCUCACAGCCUGGCAGUUAGACAUCAGUCUAUGUGUGUGUGUGUGUUCGUGUGUGUAUGAAUGUGUGUGUGUAUGUGAUAAUUACCAUGGGAUAUUUGUCAG
ensembl:lncRNA